AUGCGUUGUUGGGUAGGGGAGCGUUCUGUAAGCCUGCGAAGGCGUGCUGUGAGGCAUGCUGGAGGUAUCAGAAGUGCGAAUGCUGACAUAAGUAACGAUAAAGCGGGUGAAAAGCCCGCUCGCCGGAAGACCAAGGGUUCCUGUCCAACGUUAAUCGGGGCAGGGUGAGUCGACCCCUAAGGCGAGGCCGAAAGGCGUAGUCGAUGGGAAACAGGUUAAUAUUCCUGUACUUGGUGUUACUGCGAAGGGGGGACGGAGAAGGCUAUGUUGGCCGGGCGACGGUUGUCCCGGUUUAAGCGUGUAGGCUGGUUUUCCAGGCAAAUCCGGAAAAUCAAGGCUGAGGCGUGAUGACGAGGCACUACGGUGCUGAAGCAACAAAUGCCCUGCUUCCAGGAAAAGCCUCUAAGCAUCAGGUAACAUCAAAUCGUACCCCAAACCGACACAGGUGGUCAGGUAGAGAAUACCAAGGCGCUUGAGAGAACUCGGGUGAAGGAACUAGGCAAAAUGGUGCCGUAACUUCGGGAGAAGGCACGCUGAUAUGUAGGUGAAGUCCCUCGCGGAUGGAGCUGAAAUCAGUCGAAGAUACCAGCUGGCUGCAACUGUUUAUUAAAAACACAGCACUGUGCAAACACGAAAGUGGACGUAUACGGUGUGACGCCUGCCCGGUGCCGGAAGGUUAAUUGAUGGGGUCAGCGCAAGCGAAGCUCUUGAUCGAAGCCCCGGUAAACGGCGGCCGUAACUAUAACGGUCCUAAGGUAGCGAAAUUCCUUGUCGGGUAAGUUCCGACCUGCACGAAUGGCGUAAUGAUGGCCAGGCUGUCUCCACCCGAGACUCAGUGAAAUUGAACUCGCUGUGAAGAUGCAGUGUACCCGCGGCAAGACGGAAAGACCCCGUGAACCUUUACUAUAGCUUGACACUGAACAUUGAGCCUUGAUGUGUAGGAUAGGUGGGAGGCUUUGAAGUGUGGACGCCAGUCUGCAUGGAGCCGACCUUGAAAUACCACCCUUUAAUGUUUGAUGUUCUAACGUUGACCCGUUAUCCGGGUUGCGGACAGUGUCUGGUGGGUAGUUUGACUGGGGCGGUCUCCUCCUAAAGAGUAACGGAGGAGCACGAAGGUUGGCUAAUCCUGGUCGGACAUCAGGAGGUUAGUGCAAUGGCAUAAGCCAGCUUGACUGCGAGCGUGACGGCGCGAGCAGGUGCGAAAGCAGGUCAUAGUGAUCCGGUGGUUCUGAAUGGAAGGGCCAUCGCUCAACGGAUAAAAGGUACUCCGGGGAUAACAGGCUGAUACCGCCCAAGAGUUCAUAUCGACGGCGGUGUUUGGCACCUCGAUGUCGGCUCAUCACAUCCUGGGGCUGAAGUAGGUCCCAAGGGUAUGGCUGUUCGCCAUUUAAAGUGGUACGCGAGCUGGGUUUAGAACGUCGUGAGACAGUUCGGUCCCUAUCUGCCGUGGGCGCUGGAGAACUGAGGGGGGCUGCUCCUAGUACGAGAGGACCGGAGUGGACGCAUCACUGGUGUUCGGGUUGUCAUGCCAAUGGCACUGCCCGGUAGCUAAAUGCGGAAGAGAUAAGUGCUGAAAGCAUCUAAGCACGAAACUUGCCCCGAGAUGAGUUCUCCCUGACUCCUUGAGAGUCCUGAAGGAACGUUGAAGACGACGACGUUGAUAGGCCGGGUGUGUAAGCGCAGCGAUGCGUUGAGCUAACCGGUACUAAUGAACCGUGAG
rnacentral:rRNA from 1 species